rnacentral:rRNA from 1 species
CCUACGGGGGGCAGCAGUGGGGAAUAUUGCACAAUGGGCGCAAGCCUGAUGCAGCCAUGCCGCGUGUGUGUAGAAGGCCUUCGGGUUGUAAAGCACUUUCAGCGGGGAGGAAGGCGGUGAGGUUAAUAACCUCAUCGAUUGACGUUACCCGCAGAAGAAGCACCGGCUAACUCCGUGCCAGCAGCCGCGGUAAUACGGAGGGUGCAAGCGUUAUUCGGAAUUACUGGGCGUAAAGCGCACGCAGGCGGUCUGUCAAGUCGGAUGUGAAAUCCCCGGGCUCAACCUGGGAACUGCAUUCGAAACUGGCAGGCUAGAGUCUUGUAGAGGGGGGUAGAAUUCCAGGUGUAGCGGUGAAAUGCGUAGAGAUCUGGAGGAAUACCGGUGGCGAAGGCGGCCCCCUGGACAAAGACUGACGCUCAGGUGCGAAAGCGUGGGGAGCAAACAGGAUUAGAUACCCUUGUAGUC